rnacentral:rRNA from 1 species
UACAGAGGGGGCAAGCGUUAUUCGGAAUUAUUGGGCGUAAAGGGCGCGUAGGCGGCUUGGCAAGUGGAAGGUGAAAUCCCUCGGCUUAACCGAGGAACUGCCUUCCAGACUGCUUUGCUUGAGGCCGGGAGAGGCGAGUGGAAUUCCCAGUGUAGCGGUGAAAUGCGUAGAUAUUGGGAGGAACACCAGUGGCGAAGGCGGCUCGCUGGACCGGUUCUGACGCUGAGACGCGAAAGCGUGGGGAGCAAACAGG